AAUAAUUUUUCAUGUUGGAUAAAAUAUCACAACAUUACCACAAAUAACAACUCAAUAUGAUGACUCGAAAUAAAAUAUUUUGGUUCUUAGAGUCUUACAAUUUUCUUAUAAUAAAGUAAGUAAAUACUAGAUUAUUAACGUCGGCGUUGAUAUCAUAAUAUCACAACCUACAAUCCAUUUUAAACAUAAAUAACAAUCCAACAAACAUUCAAGAACAACAUAACGUUCGUGUGAGAAGAAUUCUCCACUUUACUCUCAUGAACAAACACCUUAGAACUAAAUGUUGCAAGGAGGUUCUGCAUAUAACAACAUAAAAGAGAAACACAUAGAAAACAACAUAAGGUUAGAUAUUUCAUAUGUGACUUAAAGUUAUACAACAAUAACAAUGCAUAGAAACAAUACAUAUAUUCAUGUUACCAAACACAGCCAUGAUGGGUUGAAUUUGAUGUGAAAUUUUAAUUGUUACAAACCCUAUAGUGUAAAUUAAUUAAGAUUGUAUACCUAAAUAAAAUUAAAUAAAAAUUAAAAAUUACCUUAUUAAAAUUGAUUUUUUUUUUUAUAGAAAAAUUGACUCAUUUAUUUGACAUUUAAUGUUACAUUUGUAUAUUACCUUUUGAUUGGUUGAUAUCUUGAAAGGGUAAAUACCCUAUAAACAAGAGAGGGUAAUGUAGAAAAACCACUAAAAACAUAUUUAACUCUAACAUAAAUUAAACUUGUUUUGAAGUAUUUGAGUAUGUGUUGUUAUUAUCAAAUCUGUCAAUUUGUUCGUACUGUAUUUUCAAGUGUGGGAAAGGUGCAUUGCACAUUUGGGACGAAUAGAGUAAAAAUAUUUCUAAUUAAUAUCCAGAGGGCGGCCUAAUUCCUACUAGGGAGGAAAUAAUUAAUGGUAUAUCUAAGGUUAAAUUUGUAAAUCUUCAUAGUUUCACUUAAAGAGAGAUAUGUUUUCAUUAUAUGAUUAAUCAUAAUAUAAUUUAGUGACGGAUGUGUGGUUGCAUUUUUGUGUUUUUACUUACUUCUAUCCUAUGUUUCCGGUGUUUUAAUAAUCUUAGUCCAUAUAAGUUUUGCCUUAUAUUUUACCUUUAUUUAUAGAUGUCUUUGAGGAGGAGUUCAUAGCAUUAAAUGAAGUAUUUCCUUCCAUUCUUUUUGCAACUAGCCAUGAACGAGCUAGUUUCACACAACAAGGAUAAUUGUCUUGUCUUUUGUAAGGUGUCUUUUGAAGUCGUUUACUUUGGAUAUUUUCAUGUUUGUUGAUAUACUUGAGUAUUUGGUUUUAUGUGUACCGCACGAUAUCAUAUGGAUCCGCAUACACCUUUAUGUUAUGAUAUAAAAUAUGUGAAUAUUCCUCUUUACUUACUUUCGUAUAUUCAAAAUUAAAAUUCAUCUAUACUUUCCAUAGAGAGAAAAAUAUAUGUGUACGAGUUAUGUUAUUCACUUAGGGUUCACCUUUAGAUGUUGGGUAUCUCACACUUUCACUAAGAUGAUAUUAGAUGUUGGGUAUCUCACACUUUCACUAAGAUGAUAUAUUUACAUGAUUAGAGGGUAGUUAUACGAAGACAUACUUAAGAUAACACCUGAAAGUGUAAAACUCAACGAUCUACCUUAUUCUCUUAGGAUCUAAAACUAAAUUCUAAUUUUAUAAGAUUUUAUAUCAAGCGCCUAGGUCAUGUUUAUCCUUAAACAUUUACACGUCAUUUAGAAGGAAACAAAGAUAACAAUAAUUUGAUAAUCUAUUUAACAUGUUUCUCCAUUAUAUGACUUUAAUUUUAUUGUAUUCUUUGAGUACCUCUUGUACUAGUUUUUUAAUUUAACAAAUAAAUCAAUUUAACAUUUAAAAAUUUAUAUUUAACAUGUUUUUGAUGAUAUUCAAAAAAUUUCACGAUCGGAAAAAUAUAUGACAGUUUUAGACAAAUUAUAAGAGUACCGAUAUUAUAAUAAGGAAUUUUUUUUUUUUUAGACAUAAUAGAUAAAUAAUUUUACCGUUUAAUAAGUUCAUACAAUAACCACUGUCGCACAUCAUACGAUAUUCAUUUGUCGGAUAUAGUUUUUCGCAAUCGUCGUCGGUAACACAUUCUCCUAUAAUGAAAAAUAAGAAUAAAGAAAUAUUACUAAAAAUGAUUGAAAGAUUGUGCAUAAGAUAAAUAAUGAGAAUGAGCUUACUUUCACUAGCUACUACAAUAAGCAAUAGGGAAACAAAAAGUAUUACAAUAUAAACAAACUUAAGA
rnacentral:lncRNA from 1 species